rnacentral:lncRNA from 1 species
ACUGGUAUGGGGACUUCUAACAGUUCACAGUGACCAAGGUCUAUUUAUAAACGAAGAUCUCCUCUGUAAUGGUUGUCGUGAUGGGAUUUGGUAAUGAUAAAGUAAGCCCACCCUUAGCACACAGCUUUAGCUCUCAGUGGUAGCAAGGACUCAUGCAGCCCUGGAAGCAGCUCUGAGCCAUGUCCUCUGACUUAAACCUUGCCGGAACACUUCCCACUUCCAAGUGAUGCAAAGGGUGGCUACAGGGACUUUGGCUUAGGCAUUGUAGGUGCUAAGGGAGAUGAACUAGGGUCUCUCAGGACAACCCUCCCCUGUCCCGCCAGGGUAUGUCAAAGCUGAAGUAGGGCCCAAAGGUGGCCCACGCCUUCCUAGGUCUAGCUGUCUUGCGACAGGCCACUUUUUCCUGCCAAAAUCCCACCAACAGAUAUGCCCAUUACAGUCUGGAAGUACCAGGGCAGAAACGGAUGGAUGAGUCGUUACUGACACAGGCCCCCCAACUCCUUUCUGCGUGGCUUUCUGCUGAGCAGUCCCUGGGCAGAGCAGUGGAGGACUUGGAGCUCUGGUCUGUCUAUCACCAGGUAUCUUGACCAGCGUCCAGACACAACUCACUUCUUCAAGGCCCUUGGGGUCACCGAUCAGGCACAGGGACAGUCCUGCUCUCCAGCAAGCAGGUAAGGAUAGGGGCCAACACCAGGAGGGAAAAAGCCAGCACCCAGGUGCUCGGAGACACUGCAGUACCAUACCCUGCAACGUGGGUGGGAAACGCUGAGGUGGUGGAGCCACAAGUGCUAGGGAUGUGCUACGGAUUUCAUUAUCUGAUGAGCCAGUAGUGUGUGUGCGUUUCUGCUAUGGGGAUCGUUUGAUGCACAGAAAUGGUCUCACAGGAUGCAGCACUUAGAGAGGUUUUGUGACACAAAAUCAGUGAAGGCAAAACCUGUAUCUAUGCUCACAGAGUGAAUGCUGUAGUUUAGGGGAGGGCGCCUCUUUCAUCUGCAUUAUCUAAUAGUGUGGCAAAGGAGGACGCAGCUAGCACGUGACCUUUGGUGGUGAUCACACCACCAAACACAAUAAAAGACUGUGUGAGGUAGGGAUGUUCUGC